AGAGAGAGACAUGCGCGCAUAUCAAUAAGCGGAGGAAAAGAAACUAACUAGGAUUCCCUCAGUAACGGCGAGUGAAGCGGGAAGAGCUCAAAUUUGAAAUCUUCAAGGUUCUACCUUGACGGAUUGUAGUUUAAAGAAGUGUUUUCUGUUGGAGUUUUGGUAAAAGUUCUUUGGAAUAGGACAUCAUAGAGGGUGAGAAUCCCGUAUUUGACCAUUAUUUCCAGCUUUGUGAUACACUUUCAAAGAGUCGGAUUGUUUGGGAAUGCAGUCCAAAAUGGGUGGUAAAUUUCAUCUAAAGCUAAAUAUUGGCGAGAGACCGAUAGCGAACAAGUACCGUGAGGGAAAGAUGAAAAGAACUUUGAAAAGAGAGUUAAACAGUACGUGAAAUUGUCAAAAGGGAAGCGUUUGACACCAGUGUUGUUUUCUCGAAAAUCAAUUAAAAAAGGCAGGAUUUUGUGUUGUAUUGACUUAUCAGCUUUCUGCACUCUUUUCUUGUCUUUUCUAGUGCACUUUUCGUUUAACAAGUCAACAUCAAUUUCUUUUGUUGUAAAAGGGUCAUUGGAAGGUGGCUUUCUUUUCGGAGAAAGUGUUUAUAGCCUUUGGCCUCUGCAAUCGGAGAGAUUGAGGUCUGCAGCGUAGAUCCUUCGGGGUUAGAUACAUUUGUGCUAAGUUAUAGCCUUUUCAUAGACAACUUGUUGACUAUGAUCAGUCAUGUAGCUUACUCGCUUAUGUUAUUUUACCUACGCUUAGGAUGUUGAUGUGAUACUGCGAGCA
rnacentral:rRNA from 1 species